GUGCCAGCAGCCGCGGUAAUACGAAGGGUGCAAGCGUUAAUCGGAAUUACUGGGCGUAAAGGGUGCGUAGGCGGUUGGUUAAGUCUAUUGUGAAAUCCCCGGGCUCAACCUGGGAAUGGCAAUGGAUACUGGCGAGCUAGAGUGUGUCAGAGGAUGGUGGAAUUCCCGGUGUAGCGGUGAAAUGCGUAGAGAUCGGGAGGAACAUCAGUGGCGAAGGCGGCCAUCUGGGACAACACUGACGCUGAAGCACGAAAGCGUGGGGAGCAAACAGGAUUAGAUACCCUGGUAGUCCACGCCCUAAACGAUGCGAACUGGAUGUUGGUCUCAACUCGGAGAUCAGUGUCGAAGCUAACGCGUUAAGUUCGCCGCCUGGGGAGUACGGUCGCAAGACUGAAACUCAAAGGAAUUGACGGGGGCCCGCACAAGCGGUGGAGUAUGUGGUUUAAUUCGAUGCAACGCGAAGAACCUUACCUGGCCUUGACAUGUCCGGAAUCCUGCAGAGAUGCGGGAGUGCCUUCGGGAAUCGGAACACAGGUGCUGCAUGGCUGUCGUCAGCUCGUGUCGUGAGAUGUUGGGCUAAGUCCCGCAACGAGCGCAACCCUUGUCCUUAGUUGCCAGCACGUCAUGGUGGGAACUCUAAGGAGACUGCCGGUGACAAACCGGAGGAAGGUGGGGAUGACGUCAAGUCCUCAUGGCCCUUACGGCCAGGGCUACACACGUACUACAAUGGUCGGUACAGAGGGUUGCGAAGCCGCGAGGUGGAGCCAAUCCCAGAAAGCCGAUCCCAGUCCGGAUCGAAGUCUGCAACUCGACUUCGUGAAGUCGGAAUCGCUAGUAAUCGCGGAUCAGCUAUGCCGCGGUGAAUACGUUCCCGGGCCUUGUACACACCGCCCGUCACACCAUGGGAGUGGGUUGCUCCAGAAGCCGUUAGUCUAACCGCAAGGAGGACGACGACCACGGAGUGGUUCACGACUGGGGUGAAGUCGUAACAAGGUAACC
rnacentral:rRNA from 1 species